ensembl:lncRNA
CGUCAACUAGAAUUGGCCUGUUUGUCCUUUCCUGCUCUCUCUGGACAUGGCAUUUUCACAAUAAUAAUGUAGUAGCUAACAUCUAUUGGUCGUAAAGAGUCGGACACAACUGAGCAACUGAACUGAACUAAACUGAACAUCUAUUGAGCACCUACUGUAUGCAUGACAUUGUCUGAUGAAACGAACUUGUGCGGCUCUGACAGCUGGGUGUAGGUGUGGGAUGAGCAGAAGGGCUCAAGGAACACGAUUGGAGGAAAAUUUAGAACAUGUCCCUUAACUACUUUGCUGAGCCUUUCUUCUACGCCCCCUUGCACUGAAGCCCACACUUUAGACACAGUAACUCCCUGAAGCAUCCUCCAAAGUGUACCUUCCUCUCCACCUGGAGCAUCCUUCCUGCUUCUCACCUGGCCAGUUCCCUCUCAUCUUUUAGGUGUCUGCUCAGACAUCACCUCCUCUGGGAAGAUUUUCUCAGACCAGAGUGGC